CGUGAAUUUGAAACGCAUGCGCUUAAGAAGCAAUCCAUACUAGCCUCUGACAAUAACAGAGCGCCAUCUUAGUAGAUAAUACAAGUUAAUUGCCAUAGAACUCUACGCCAUAACAUCAACAACAUAUCAAGAAGAAGAUAUCGAACUAGGGGGUUGUAACAAGGUUAAUCAGAGAUGUGUUAGCCCGAGACGUGACACCGGGUUCGGUCAACCCGUAAAUCAAUCCCUUUGAUUCCAAGUUCUCUCUCUUUUUCUCUCGAGAAGGGAUUUUCCAGAGACACCUUUCCCACCUUUAUCCGAUUUAAGGGGGAAAAGGUAUUCAGGGAUGAAAGGUAAUCAGGAUUCAGACUCCCCCUCAAAGAUCACUGUAGGAUUUCAUUUAAACUCGGAGACCAUUAAGGAGAAGAGAGAAACGAUAAACAUGGGAUUUUAAGCGGGACGAGUUUUCUCCUUUUAAUGAAAUUCACAUCUUAAUUUCGAUAAUCUCACAAGAAAUCGAAGAAGAACUCAAAGAAGAACUCGAAGCAGAACGUGAAAAGGAACACGUAGAAUAAGUCGAAGAUAUAACGAUGAAGAGAAAAUGAAGAUAAAGAAAGUAUUUUCGACCUAUACGGGCGGAUAUGGUACGGAAUUUGAAUAAAUUAGAGUUGAAAAUGACGCUGUUCCAUCUACCAGAUGGAAUUUUAUUUAAUUUUGUUAUCGAAAAUAAGAAAAAAUUAAUUAUGU